AUUUAACUCGAUUAAUAGUCGAUUAAUUUAUCACUUGCUUUAUACUACUAUUUUUGUAUUGUGUUCGAAUCUAUUAAUCGAGUUUCAUUGAAUAUAGAUUAUAUUAAUUGUUCGUUGUUAAAGAUAAAUAUCUAUGAUUUCGAUUUCAAAGCAAUGAAGAAAAAUAUGUUUGAAGAGGUUAUCAAUUUUACGGAAGAUUCUCUUGUCGGUGCGCAGGAUGAGAAUUCACUCGAAGAGAUCAGGUCCCAACAAAUAGAGCCCUACAGUACUUUAUAUCUUAACAUACUAAUACUUUCAUUUUAUCACUUUCUUAUGAAUACUUUCAUACGUUUCAGAUACGUUUCUGUUAGGAUUCGUAUAUUUGUGAUUACAUUUAAAUUUGAAAGGCUUAAAUAACAUAACCUCAUCUAUGAUACGAAUUGUACCUGAAUAAACUUAUUAAUGCUUUUCUCAUAUUCAAACGCCUCAUAGAGAGUAGCGUUUUCGAGUAAUGCAUUAAUUAUCAGAAUUCGCCAGCCCAUUGUUAAAAUAUUGACGUUUCGAUAAUUAAUUCGUUUUAGUUACUGUACGUUCGCUUAUCAUCGAGAAUCGGGUUGUACUAUUUCAAAAUUUACGUCAUAAGAGUGACGCACCAUUCCACUCUAUUUUUUUUUUUCAAUCAACAUACUUUCAAUAUUGGUUUUUUUUAUUGCUAUGUUUCUAAAGUUUCUCAUCGUUGAAUUAUUUGCUAUUAGUGCCGAAAUGAAAAAUCUAAAAAAUACCUAAAAGUUUCAGCGAUCGUGCUGAACAUAUUUUCUGUGCCAUUGUUUCACCAAACCUUCUUGUUAUUAUUGUCAUCAAUUAUUAAAUUAUUGUCUAUGAAGGUUUGGCAAUUGAUUAUUGUCUGCAUAUAUGUUCAUAUAAAUAACUUUCUCAAUUCCAUAAAGUUUAUAAAUAAAUAGCAAUAGCUUAAAUAUUUU